ACCGGUGUGGCGUGAAUUUUGUCAGACCCGUGAGAAACGUAAGACUUUACGUUCUGCGCAUGCGCAGGUAGUUGUCGGACGGGGCCGUGAGAAAUGUAAGACUUUCUGGUACAAUUGUGUGUUAACCUCGUUUAGAAGCUCAUUAAUUAAUCCAAGUGUAGUUCUUCCUUUUAUUCAUGAGCAUAGAGAUAUUUUCUACGAUACCAACUUUUAUUUAUCUGUGACAACGUAUCGUGUGGAUGAAAUAUUGUCCAAAUCAGUGGCAGUCUUUCGACAUCGUUCGUUCCCGAUGUCGAGUUGGUGGAAAAUCCUGGAAAAUCGAAGAGCUUUGAUCGAGUGAGAACAAUCCAGUGUUACAAAAAGGUGUCAUUUUCGGAUAGCUGAGAUUACAAUUAACAAAUAUUUCACUUCUGGAUAAAUGUAGUGACAUCAAUACAGAAACAGCAGAUUAUAGGCAAAGGAAAGCUAUUUCUGGAUCUUUCGCAAAAUACAUGAUGUACAAAUAUUCUGCCAGAAACUUUAACCUGACAAAAAGGAAGUGGUGUAGAUCUGUUGGUAUAUCUGCAUAUUGUUGGUGAUACAAAAUGUGUAAUAUGAAAACAUUGAAGAAAGACUUGACAAAUGCAAAAUAUGUGAUGCAAGAAUUCAGUAUAAGUAAAAUUACCAGAUUUUCAUUUCAAAUGAAAAAGAAUUGUAGCCCACAGGAUCAGUCCUCAUCUUUAGUCAGUGGUCAGGCUUAAAAAGUAUUUUUUUCCAGAAGACACAAGUGCAAGUAAAAAAGGCACAUUUCACUUUUUCCACUUGAAUUAUGUUGGAUUAAAUUAAGAGUUAUCAAAAAGUAUGGAAAAUAAAGUUAAUUUGGCAAUUAAUGUUUAAGAGUGCCAAAAUGACAGCAAAAUGUAUCUUUUCCUUAUUUUGUCAAUAUUGAAUUUUAUGAUACUUUGGAUGAAAUGACAAUAAAACUGUCAGUGAAAGUAAAUUAAUUGAAUUUUGAUAAUAAACAGACCAAUUCAAGUAAACUAAAUGUGGUAAAGAAGACAUUAUGGAGUUAACAAGGAGAUACCAAAAGUGUAAAUGAAUGUAACAAUAAAUUACAUCUAUAUUAUUUCAUAGACUCUGUGAAAGGAUUAUAGUCAGAUCUGAAUAGGAAUCAUAAGAUUAUAACAUGUUAUAACUGAAAGAAAGCUGAGAAACAUCCAUCAUGGGGAAAAGUGUAUUUGACAUUUACAUUCAUAUUAUCAAUUGUUAGAAACGCUCAAGUAUUGACAUGUAACACCUUAGUAGGUAAUCUUCUAUUUAACUUGGUUAACCUGGGAAUACUUAACUAGAUCAAUUCAUACAACCUUCAGUCCUUUAUCUCCAUGAUUUAUCAUGAGGGGAUCCAGGCAGAUAAUUCAGUGAUAGACUAUAGCUUCAUUAUUUUUUCCUAUUUUGUAAAUAUCUAUUCCAUAAUAUUGAAAUACAACAAUAAAACAAUAAUUAUAGGACCUUAUCUAUUGCAUUGUCAACUUUUUAGCCCGACUAUACAAAGUAUAUGGAGAGCUGUCCUACUCGCCCCGGCGUCUGCGUCCAGAUUUCAGAUUAAAGUUUAUGUGCAGUAAAAUACAUUUCACUAUAACUUUGUCAUUUCUUAAGGUAUCAACUUCAAAUAUAUGUUCCUUAUCAUCAACUUCAUCUUAUGUGACGAGCUUUAUACCUCUAGCACCAAUAUUUUCAGAUUUAUUUUCCCUUGAUCUUACAAUUUUCCUUAAAAAAUAAUAUUUUUUACUGUUACUUAUUUAUUUCUAAAGGGAUCAACCUCAUACUUCAAAUAUAUGUACCUUAUCAUCAUCCCCAUCUUAUGUGACAAGGUUCAUAUCUCUUGCACCAAUAUUUUCAGAUUUAUAUCCCCUUGAACUUAGAAUUUUCCUUAAAAAUAUUAUUUUUACUGAUACUUAUUUAUUUCUGAAGGGAUCAACUUCAUACUUCAAAUAUAUGUACCUUAUCAUCAUCCACAUCUUAUGUGACAAGGUUCAUAACUCUAGCACCAAUAUUGCAAGAAUUAUCUCCUUAUAAACUUAGAUUUUUUUACUAGAAAAAUGUUAUUUUUUACUAUGACUUUUUAGCUCACCUGUCACAAAGUGACAGGGUGAGCUUUUGUGACCGCUUUUCGUCCGGCGUCCGUCCGUCCGUCCGUCGUCCGUCCGUCCGUAAACUUUUACUUUAAAUGACAUCUCCUCAUAAACCACUAAGCCAAUUUCAUCCAAACUUCACAGGAAUGUUCCUUUGGUGGUCACCUUUGAAAAUUGUUCAAAGAAUUUAAUUCCAUGCAGAAUUCUGGUUGCCAUGGCAACCGAAAGAAAAAACUUUAAAUAUCUUCUUUUAAAAAACCAUAAGAGCUAGAGCUUAGAUAUUUGGCAUGAAACAUCUUCUAGUGAGUGUCUACAAAGUUUGUUCAAAUAAAAGCCCUGGGGUCAAAAUUGGCCCCGCCCCGGGGGGUCAUUGAUUUUCCCUAUAUGCAUAUAGUAAAAAUUAAAAAAAUCUUCUUUUAAAGAACCCAAAGAGCUAGAGCUAAGAUAUUUAGCAUGAAAUAUGUUCUAAUGGGUGUCUACCAAGUUUAUUCAAAUAAAAGCCCUGGGGUCAAAAUUGGCCCCGCCCCAGGGGGUCAUUGAUUUUCCCUAUAUGCAUAUAGUAAAAACUUAAAAAAUCUUCUUUUAAAGAACUCAAAGAGCUGUGGCUAAGAUAUUGAGCAUCAAACAUGUUCUAAUAGGUGUCUACCAAGUCUGUUUAAAUAAAAGCCCUGGGGUCAAAAUUGGCCCCGCCCCAGGGGGUCAUUGAUUUUCCCUAUAUGCAUAUAUUAAAAACUUAAAAAAUCUUCUUUUAAAGAACCAAAAGAGUAGAGCUAAGAUAUUUAGCAUGAAACAUGUUCUAAUAAGUGUCUACCAAGUUUGUUCAAAUAAAAGCCCUGGGGUCAAAAUUGGCCCCGCCCCGGGGGGGUCAUUGUUUUCCCUAUAUGCAUAUAGUAAAAACUUAAAAAAUCUUCUUUUAAAGAACCAAAAGAGCUAGAGCUGUGAUAUUUAGCAUGAAAUAUGUUUUAAUGGGUGUCUACCAAGUUUGUUCAAAUAAAAGCCCUGAGGUCAAAAUUGGACCCGCCCCGGGGGGUCAUUGAUUUUCCCUAUAAACAUAUAGUAAAAACUUUAAAAAUCUUCUUUUAAAGAACUCAAAGAGCUAUGGCUAAGAUAUUGAGCAUGAAACAUGUUCUAAUAGUUGUCUACCAAGUUUGUUCAAAUAAAAGCCCUUGGGUCAAAAUUGGCCCCGCCCCGGGGGGUCAUUGAUUUUCCCUAUAUGCAUAAAGUAAAACUUAAAAAAUCUUCUUUUAAAGAACCAAAAGAGUUAGAGCUAAGAUAUUUAGCAUGAAACAUGUUCUAAUAAGUGUCUACCAAGUUUGUUCAAAUAAAAGCCCUGUGGUCAAAAU